rnacentral:misc_RNA from 1 species
CCCUUGUGGAGGAGGACGCCGAAGGUGGGGCUAAUGACUGGGGUGAAGUCGUAACAAGGUAGCCGUACCGGAAGGUGCGGCUGGAUCACCUCCUAACAGGGAGACAACAAAAUGUUUAAUAUUAUUAUUUUGUCACCUUAGGUCGAUCGGUAUCUCACAUUCUUAAUUUAUUAAGGAUUUCAUUUCCUAAGUUUUUCUAGGUCACACCCAUUAUUUUUCCUGGGCCAUUAGCUCAGGUGGUUAGAGCGCACCCCUGAUAAGGGUGAGGUCCCUGGUUCAAGUCCAGGAUGGCCCAUAUCUCUAUGUUGGGGGUAUAGCUCAGUUGGUAGAGCGCCUGCUUUGCAAGCAGGAUGUCAGCGGUUCGAGUCCGCUUACCUCCACUGAUUACCACCUCUUCCAUAAUCUGUAGAAAGGAAAUGUUUUGAGUUGUGAUCAAUUCUGAACGAAUCUAGCUUCCUAAUGAAAUCAUUAAGAUGCUGGACUCAUUGAAUUAAUUUCAUUGUUUUCAGAGAACCUUGACAACUGCAUAGAUUAUUUUUAAAGACAAUAAGCAUCUUUUAAUGAUGCAGAUUUAUUAUUGGUGCAAAUGCAUUAAUAACAAUUCUAUUAAGCUGAUGCUUCAAUUAUUGAAGUUAUUGGUCAAGCUACAAAGGGCUCACGGAGGAUACCUAGGCACACAGAG